rnacentral:rRNA from 1 species
GACGAACGCUGGCGGCGUGCUUAACACAUGCAAGUCGAACGGAAAGGCCCUGCUUGCAGGGUACUCGAGUGGCGAACGGGUGAGUAACACGUGGGUGAUCUGCCCUGCACUUCGGGAUAAGCCUGGGAAACUGGGUCUAAUACCGGAUAGGAGCCAUUUUUAGUGUGAUGGUUGGAAAGUUUUUUCGGUGUAGGAUGAGCUCGCGGCCUAUCAGCUUGUUGGUGGGGUAACGGCCUACCAAGGCGGCGACGGGUAGCCGGCCUGAGAGGGUGGACGGCCACAUUGGGACUGAGAUACGGCCCAGACUCCUACGGGAGGCAGCAGUGGGGAAUAUUGCACAAUGGGCGCAAGCCUGAUGCAGCGACGCCGCGUGGGGGAUGACGGCCUUCGGGUUGUAAACUCCUUUCGCUAGGGACGAAGCUUUUUGUGACGGUACCUAGAUAAGAAGCACCGGCUAACUACGUG